rnacentral:rRNA from 1 species
GAUGAACGCUAGCGGCAGGCCUAAUACAUGCAAGUCGGACGGGAUUUGGGAGCUUGCUCCUAAUGAGAGUGGCGCACGGGUGCGUAACACGUAUGUAACCUACCUUAAUCAGGGGGAUAGCCUCUCGAAAGAGAGAUUAACACCGCAUAAUAUAUUUUUAUGGCAUCGUAGAAAUAUCAAAUAUUUAUAGGAUUAAGAUGGGCAUGCGGAACAUUAGCUAGUUGGUAAGGUAACGGCUUACCAAGGCUACGAUGUUUAGGGGAUCUGAGAGGAUGACCACCCACACUGGUAAUGAGACACGGACCAGACUCCUACGGGAGGCAGCAGUAAGGAAUAUUGGUCAAUGGGCGCAAGCCUGAACCAGCCAUGCCGCGUGCAGGAAGACGGCCCUAUGGGUUGUAAACUGCUUUUGUACCGGAAUAAACCCUUUUACGUGUAAGAGGCUGAAUGUACGGUAAGAAUAAGGAUCGGCUAACUCCGUGCCAGCCGCCGCGGUAA